UACGAAGGGGGCUAGCGUUGCUCGGAAUCACUGGGCGUAAAGGGUGCGUAGGCGGGUCUUUAAGUCAGGGGGGAAAUCCUGGAGCUCAACUCCAGAACUGCCUUUGAUACUGAAGAUCUUGAGUUCGGGAGAGGUGAGUGGAACUGCGAGUGUAGAGGUGAAAUUCGUAGAUAUUCGCAAGAACACCAGUGGCGAAGGCGGCUCACUGGCCCGGUACCGACGCUGAGGUGCGAAAGCGUGGGGAGCAAACAGG
rnacentral:rRNA from 1 species